CUGCUAGCAUGAAAAGAGUUUUUUUUAAGGUUUUAAAUGUGACCUCUUUGUGAAUUUCUUAAAUGGCUUGUUAUGAAAGGUGAUGCCACGGUGUGUACAUGAACUUUGAGAAAAGUGUUUAUUUUAUGUUGUGUUUCAUAUAACUAACUGAAAUUUUUUGAAUGUGCUGUGUUGGCAAAAGGUCCGAUUUGAAGGAGCCUAAAAUGUGUGCCUUGUUGGUUGGUUGUUUUUAGAAAAUGUUUUUGGUGUUCGUUUUUGAUGUUCCAUGUGUUGUCUUUGUGGAGAGAUUCUAGGCAGAUUUUUGGGGGCUGCAUUUGGCAGCCAUCUUGUUUGCUAUGGUCGUUGGCGGCCAUUUUGUGAGGUGCAGUCUGUUUGCUCUGUGGGUCAUCCUGGGUCAUCUUUUGGGUGUGAUACCAUGUGACUGAGCAGUGGAAUUUUUGCAGCCUUUGGGGCAGAUUUUGAUGUUUAGGGUGAUUUCGAGGCGCAGUUAAAUUGUUUUUUGCAAGCGUAAAUGGCGCCAUUGUUUGCUUGGUUUGUCGCCAUUUUGAGAUGCAGUUUAAAGCGCUAUCUUUUGAAUAGUGCUUGCGUGCUAGGGCUAAUUUAUAUAAAAGAUCUGACUAACCUAUCGGCUGACUUUGCAGUAUAAGAAUGGAGGCUUUUGUGUAAGAAUUUCGUUUUUUGGGUGAAAAGACUGCUUUGCAUGCACUGAAUUUUAAUGGAUUGUGGAACUGGUUUGAAUGCAUUUUUGUGCACAGCGAUGUGCGUUGCUUUUGGAUUUGAAUAUUUGGGAAUUUCCCUGCAGAUGGGAGGAGAUUGUUUUACCUUUCCUGAACCAAAAGAAUUUUGUUUUAAAAGGAGAGUCCGUUCUGGCUUUGUUUACUAUUGGAUAAUACUUCCAGGGGAUAUUUGUGGUCCAUGGAGUUUUUUUGAUGAAGAUAGACUUCCCCUCCCUCUUCCUGUCAUUAUGUAAAUAAACCAGAAUUGGGUUUUACGAGCUGAGCAUACA